GACCUUCUAUUAGGUAACGACUUCGUGUUGAUCAUGGCUUGACAAGGUGUCACAAUGUUCAGAAAUGAACCUGACUAUUUCAUAAAUUGGUCUUAUUGGCUACAUGCCGAAAGUGCCUCCUAUUUCCCAAAAGAUGGGCUCAUGAUGAUCGAUAGCGUCAACUGCAUGGUAAGCUAAUGUCCAAUCUGUGUUGCUUUUCUUUUGACUGGUACUAUUUCUGGCGUCUUACUUUUUGUUUUUUCUUUUGGUUUGCGUGGUUCGACUUGGAUAGUUGGGUUUAGUUUCUACUCUACCUUAACUUGCUUGAGACCUGUUUUUGCUGCUGUCCCCAAAUUCCUAACCUAGCAGAGAAGCUCUAUAAGACUAGAGAACCAGUCGAUCGAAGUUUUAGAGAUCAUGGAUACACAUAUGUAGGCUGCAGACUUAUACUUGGCUUGUUUGGCACAGGUUCAACGCUCAAUUUUUUCGGAGCUGAUAUUUCUAGCUCCUAAAAUUCUUAAGAGUUGUAGUUAGGAUGAACGAGCAUUAUUGAGCGAGAUAUUCUGUUUGGAUGUUGGACUAGAAUUAGCGUGUCGAAAACCACUUUAUUUUAUUGUAGAAACUAUAUUUUCUGAACCUAUAAGUUAGACCUGUCAAACACCCUACGUCAACAAAUAUAAGGGAUUGCUCCAUUUAUCCACAUAUACAAGGGAUGAGUUCUACUUUUCCUUCAACUGUCUCAUUUAAGCAGUUACACCAAAAGAUGUUAUUUAUCCUAAUCAAGUACUCCCUCAGGACGGAGGGAGUAAAGUUUAUGGGACAUCAUUGAGUGAAUAGCUAAUUUAGUCCCUCAAGUUUCACUGAAGGCUCAAUUUGGUCUUUUAGGUUUCAUUUUAUCCACAUAGGUCCUCUAAGUAUUUGUUUUGGCUUAAAAUUAUCCUUGGGCCCACUUAAUAUGCCAUAUGGUUAUUUCUAGUCAACAAUUCUGUUAGAAAAUGUCCCUUCCGCUCUUAAUUUGUAUACAACUAUACACUAGAAAAAAAACUAAAAUGAAUAAACAACAUUGCAUAUGUACUUCCCAUUAUUUCAACAUGUGCACAUGAAACUUGAGCCUAAUGGCUAUCGUAUACACUUGCAAGUACUUAAUUUAUUUUGUUUUAUAUAAAUUGCUGUGCAUUAUCUAUAAAAAGAAUUCAUUGCAUGCAAUUUUUUCUCUUAUAUAUGUGAAUGAGGGGUAUAAGUGUUAUUUAUCAAGAGAGUUGUUGGUUAUGUUGGUUUAAGGAUAAGUUUAAAUUAAAAUAAAAACUUGAAGGACUAAUAUGGAUAAAUUGAAAUAUUAAAGACUAAAUUGAUUCUUAUAUGAAACUUGAAGGACCGCUUUAGCCUUAAACUCUACUCCCUCCAUUCCAUAAUAUAAGGCAUAGCAUGCAUGCAUGUAGGCAAUUAACUAUGACCCCUUCUCUAUUAAAUUAUUACUUUUUUAAAUACUUUACUCUCAUGUUCUCUAAUUCUAUUGGAUGCAUGCAUUGUAUUUAUUAGGAUGAUCCAAACUACAAGAUGAUAAUAAUUAUUUUCUUGAUUUUUGGGUUAGGGGUGAUUAUGCCUUAUAUUUUAGAAUGGAGGGAGUACAAAACAGUCUAUCAUAAAAUAUAUUAGUGACUUAGGAUUGGAUGGGACACAUUCUUAUAACUUAUAGCGACUUCUUCCGUCCCAUGAAAUUUGUCGUUCCAAGUUGUUUAGCAUGUAUUAAGGUUAGAAGAAAAAGACUAUAAUAUUCCUUAAUAAAUAAUGUAUAAUCGAAUGUAGGAUGGUGGUUAGGGGUAGAAUGGGAAGAAAUUUAAAUUGAAAGUGGUUGAUGUGACAAGUACUAUAAAGCGACAAUUAUUUUAGGAUAAUUUUUUAGUGCUAGAAAGACAAGUAUUGCGGGACGGAAGAAGUAUAUAGAACUGGAUGCGAUACAUCGUUAUAACAUGGUACCAUGAUAUAUCUAUUUAGAUAUAUUUUGGGACUGAGGAAGUAGAAUGGAUGUGAGCCGCCGCUCCAACUCAAUAUUCCCUUGGACGGAGCAACGAAAGAUCGCAGUCCGAACGCGUUGCCGCUUGCAUCCAACCAUUUUCCAUAGCAAUCACUUCGUAACGUCGGUGUCACAGCCAAAUUCCGCAGUUCUCGCUCCCAUGCAUGGUUCGGUGUACUAACUGGAAACAACCGAUGAUCUCCGCCAAUCAGCAGCAACUUGGCAAAGGAGAAAAGAAAGCAUAAAGCCCCUCGUCGCGGACGUCAUGUGCCAGUGACAUCACCGCCACCAACUUGUGUGAGCGCUUUGAUGACACUCUCGCUGCGAGACCGCUGCAGAGCGAAGCAACAGCCCGUGGUAUUUAAUCCGAGCUUCUGCCCUAUUAGCAUCCAGAUUCAUUCCAGCAGCAUCGUGUCCUGGACUCCUGGCCCUUGCUGCCUUGCAUUCCUGAUACGAUCUAAUCCUAGAUCAACCAUCACUUUUCUCUCUGCUACUCCCUCCAUUUUAUAUAGGGGUGAAAACAGAGCUGAUUCGGACUGAUAGUAGUCAUACCAUAUCCUAAACCAUAUUUUUUAAGUGGAUUCGAAGCGGUUGCGGAUAGUGUGCGGAUACGGAUACAGAGCGGAUUGGUUCGGAUGUCAGAAAUGGAGUGGAGUCGGUGCGGAAUCGGUUCGGAAACGGAUUAAAUUUAUCGGAUGUUACGUGUAUAUGCAAUCAAUACAACAUCGAGUUAGCAAUGCAAUGAAUAAUAAUACAAUAAUUAAUAAAUGACCUAUCGUAAUAAUUAUAUGCUUAAGGCUAAACAAGUAAACAACAUGAAUACAUUAUGUCCAUAAUAUAAAAAACAGCUACGUAAGUAUAAUAUGAGACGGUGAAAGUCUCAUAUUAAGAAAUCUAGGUUAAUUGAUGAAUUAGACCAUUGGAUGGACCAACUUAUAUUAUAUGUAAUAGAUAGAGUGGUUACAUGUGUUAAUAAUUUCGUAUUAUCCGGCAAACGUUCUAUCGGAUAAUCCGAUAGAAAAGUCAGAUAAUCCGCAUCCAUCGGAUUUCAGAAAUACCAUAUCCGCAUCCGCAUCCAUAUCCGCCGGAUUUCUAAAAACUCCUACCAUAUCCUCGUUACGGACGGAUUCGGAGCGGAUCGGAUCGGAUAUUAUCCGAUCCGUUUUCACCCGUAAUUUUAUAUUAUGGAGAAAUUUAACAAUAUUCCAUCUAUUAUGUUGCUUUGAAUCGAUCGCUAGUCAAAUUUCUUUAGGUUUGAUAAAAAAAUAGUAAUAUCUAUAAUACCAACUUAGUUUUAUUAAAUAUAAUAUAAUAUUGAAUAUAUUUUGAUAAUAUGUUUAUUUUGUGUUGAAAAUGUUACUAUGCUUUUUUUUAUAAAUUUGGUUAAACUCAAUAAGGUUUUGAUAUGAAAAGUUAAAGCGACGAUUUAUAAUAUAAAACGAAGGGAAUAUUACAUAAUUAACGUGCUGCUGUAUUCUUAAUCUAGAUCGAGCAUGAUUCUGGAAACGUCACUCUCAGUCUGAGAUAUGGUUCGGCCUGUAAGGAAAUUAAGAGAUGAUUAUGCACUGUUAGGCACCUGUAAUUUGGCUCUCUCUAGCUCCAAGUUGCAGAAAGCUGGGCGUUCCUAUUCGUAAUGCAGCAUUAGUUUUUUUUUUAAGGAAUGAUGCAGCAUUAGUGAGCAGUAGUACUAGAUUCUAUUCUAGUUAAGCCUGCAUGCAGUGAUGCAGGUCAGGUCAGUUGAACUAAAGAAUUCAAAGCAGCCGCCCUAAGCUAGCUUGAAGCCCGACACUCGAAUAAUGCACAUAUCAUUGACGAGAGUGAGAGGAGUGUGGUGCUAUAUGCCUUUCUUUCUUUUUCUGUUCCUCGCUUUCAGAUCGCCGGGCGUGCAUUGCAUCGACCGGUUUGCAGGUCCUUUCCCAAGGUCGCAUAUCGCAUCGAUCUCUCAAAGGUGAGAGAUCAAAUAUAAUCCAAGCGUCAUACUACUAGUCAAAGAACGCGUGCACAUUCUUAAAAAGGAAGAGAUCUUAAGUGGUGAUGAACAAGUUGGGGGCAGCCAGUGACCAUUGGCUUCCUCGAAACGGCUAAGGGCCCCUUUGAAUCGUAGGGUAGAAAAAACGGAAGAACGGAAAAAACACAGGAUUCUGACAGGAAUUGAAGUGUAAAACAGAGGAUUGCAAAACACAGGAAAAACACAGGAAUGGUUAUUUAAUUGGAGCACAGGAAAAACGCAGGAAUCGGAUGAGAGAGAUAGAAUCAAAGGAAAUUUUUCAAGAGAUUGGAGCUCUUGCUAAAUUUCCUCCAAAAUCCACAUGCAAUGUGCCAUUCCAUAGAAAUUUCAUAGGAUUUGAAAAGUUUCAAUCCUUUGAAUCAAACGAUUUAUGUAGGAAUUUCAUAGGGCAUAAAUCCUUUGAUUCACAGGGCCUAAAUGGGCAUUGGCUAUGAUAUGGCGCAUGGAAGGAACAUUGGCCAGGAUCCGUG
rnacentral:lncRNA from 1 species